AAAUCAGGUCUGACCUAAAAACCAGAGAAGCAUCCAUUGAAGGGCCAUUCUCUAUUUACCUAAAAAUAAAAAACAGUGGGGAAAGAAAAAUGUGUACGAACAGAUGAAGAUAAGCACUAGAAAUAAAAUAUUGCACCGGGUAACAGUUGAAAUAGAUUAGUAAAUUAAACUGGCUAAAGUUUGAGGAAGACUUGACCUUGAUUACCUGUCAAAGGUUACUUUCUAGUAUAAGUGUAUGAUUGUGUUGUUAUAAAAAGAGGAUCUGAAUGCAAAAACACUGCAGUGAUUAUUUCCAACUUCUUUAAAAAUACGGAUAGUGAAUCAUUUAAGUUGGACUGCUCUUAUGUUAGUGUUUCCUUGUUUAUUCUUUUUCUCCUUGAUCAGCUAAAAAAUAACUUAUAUUGAUGUUUGGUAGAGCUUGGCCAAGAAUUAAAUGGGCGGAAAUUUUUAUUUACUUGACCCUUUCAGCUUGUGACAGUCAAAAAGUGAAGCACAUGCGGGGUGUCAUAAAGGACUUUUCCUGUUUCAUUAUCUCCACUGUUCUUUUAUGUUUAUAUCCAUUUUUAUUAUGCUUUUGUAAUUUGAGGCACAGUCCAUGAUUAACAGAUGACUGGAACAUCUGUUAAAGAAAGGUGUGGCUCCCUUUUUGGUUGUACAUCCAGACUUUUUAGUGACAAUAAAAAUGCAAAGGGAAAAGGGAGGAAAUUGAAAGGAACAUUUAAUCUGAUAAGGCAUCUGUACUUGUGAGAGAGUACAUAUAGCUUUCAGCAGACUUCAGAUAUGAAGUGCUCUGGUUCUGCACAUGGGGCACAAUGCCAGAUUAUUAGAUGGAUUCUGUGAGAGUAUCAAAUACUAGAAGAAUGCGUGCUCCACAAAAUGCAAAUAUAUAUACCUGUCACGAUCCAUUAUUUUGAUGUAUAAAGUAAUCUCACUGCUUUUAUCUGCUGCUCUACUCUGUUUCUCAUUUUUUCCUUUGCUGCUUCACCUAUUUCUGCCUUCUAUUUUCUGUCAUCUUUUUCUCUGGAGGCCUAAUGUCCCAAAUCACCUUGUGCUCAAUAUACGAGGAAUAGGAAUGACUUCUGUCCAGCAUUCACGCUUUUCCUUAUUCAUAGCUACAUAACCAUUGCUAUUGCUCAUGUUUAAUCUAGAGCACCUUACAUUAACACCAUACUGGAAGAACUGCUUCCCUGCUAAUGUGUAUACCUAUUCAUGAGGCAAAAAUACAGCAGGUACAGUGACUCAGUCAGAAUUUGAUACAUGCUUAAGUCAACUAAUAAGAGGGAAGUUUUAUGCUGCCAAGAUGUUGAAAAAAGCUGCUUUGCUCCCUUUUUCACUCACAAAGUUGCUUUCUAAUCAGUCACUUUGCCUUUACUCAAUUACCAAAUUUUCUAUAACUUCUCAGAACUUUCAUUCUGAAAACUUUGACCAUUUAGUGAAAAUAUUGUCAUUAGUUCAUAGACUUAAAUGUUACCUUGGGGAGCAAAACCAACAUGUUCUGUAAAUCUCACAUCAUGAAGGAGUCGACUAAAGCCAGACUGAGAUCUCUCAGAUGUUUCAGGAAAAAAAAAAUAUUUUCAAACACUGACAUCGAUAGUUUGUUAAUACCAAUAUGCAUAUAAAGAUCCAUGAAAAAUAAAGCAUUUGAAGUAUCUCUGAUUCCUGAGAGCUCUUCAUUUGUAAGAGUAUUUGUAAAUAAGUGGUAUUAGUGGUGCAGAAUGAGGCAGUUUUCUGCUGGUAAAAGGACUUAGGAAAUUUAAUUUACAUGUGCACAUUUCCUUUUUUUGGUGCACAUUAACAGUGAAGUCUAAAAAUGUACUAUAAAUGUACUCUUUAAUUUUGCAGUGAUAUCUUCUGAAGAAUGUAGAUAACUGAAGAAAAUUUUAAUUGAAUCAAUGAAUUCAAAGCAAAUCAUAGUAAGAUUGUCCUCUUAUUUAUUCUCAUAUUUCUUAAUUUCUUUUUCUUUUUCUAUUGUAGAGGGAACAUACAAAAAUUGAUAUGCAUGUUAACAUUUUCAUGAUGUUAGGAUGCUUCUUUGUUUUACCACAAGAAGCUCCACAAAAAUAAUAAAUCAUUAAUUUGGGCACAGUGUCAGCAGCGUCUGUGCCUGUCUGCAACCUCACGAUAUUUAGAGAAAUCAAUCACAUAACCAGUCUUGCUCAGCGAGCUGCUCUAAUGUGUAUUGCUUGAGAUGAAAUUCUUGGUGUAAGGCUGAGCUAAUGUUUGUGGUACUUUGCUUUUCUCUCUUUUGCCUCUGAUUCAUGUCAGUAUGGUUUGGAAGAAUGAAAAAAACCUGUUCUCUUACCUAAUUUUUGAAGAGGCUAAUAAGAUGUUAAUAAAGAGUAGUUUAAAGAGUACUACAGCAUAAUGUUCAACAGCUAAGAUAUAGGCAAUCUACUCAGCUAUAAAUAAUUUCAAGUUAGUCAUUAAGCCUCCAAAUUUGUGCAGUUUUUUCUCUGAUAGAUUAUUUAAAAACAGAUGUUCAAUAAGUAAUUCAUUUCUUCAGUGUAGGGAAUCCCCAGGCUCCUCUGGGAUGUUUGAACUUUCUACUUUUUUCUACCUUGCUUUUAUGCACAGUAGUAAAGGUAUCUCACUGCUGAGAUUGCUGAACAGUGCCCUGAAAGCUUAAUUUCUAGAUUGCUGUGAGGCUGUUUAAGUUACACUGGGGACAAAAGCAGUAUGAAACUAUUUGGGAGGGAGGGAAUAGUUAUGGAGAUAAUCCCAUUUUGCUAUAUCUUGUAUCUAGUGCUCACAGAGUGGAAGAAUAAAGAAGCCUCUCAUUAUACGGCACUGGAGCCUACUAAUAGAUCAAAGCAUUUCUACAGAGCAUUUCAAUAUUAAUGCCAUUUGCCUACAGAUGAAAAUGAAAGAUGAUAGAGAAAUCAAUCAGGACAUUGAUUCCUUGGCAUUAAAAAACUCUGGAAAGCAGAAAUAUUGAAUGAAAUAAUCAUUUCAAGAAUCAUUUUGUGAGCAUGUGGUUUUUUUUUUUUUAGCUUGGGCCCUUCUUCCCUGGCUCAGUACAUGAUGAUGGAUUUUCUUUUUUUUUUCCUGGAGAGAAUCUCUGUAAGCAAAACUGCUCAGUGUUCUGUAACAAAUUUUUAAUUAUGUGAGUUGGUGAUACCAAGAUGUGUCUCAAAUAUAUGUGCUGAGUACUUUGCUCAUCUGUAGCCUGAAUAUUUAUUUCCCGGGGCACACGUGUAUUUUGUACAGUGGCUGUGUGUUUAAUACAGGUAGAGAUGACGAUUUGAGUUCUCUUGCCUCUGUCACCUAUGAUAAUUUGGGUGCAGCCUUGAUGCAAAAGUGCUGAAUUCAAAGUGUUCUUAUUAACUAUCACAAGCCGCAGAAACUUGUUUGAUAAAAAAAUUAUUGUAACCAGAGGUGAAAAGGAAAAAGAGACAUUAGAAUAGGUUAUUUGAAGGCAGACAGAAUAGCCUUGUUAGAAGAGUAACUGGUAGUGGUCUUGUAAUGGCGUGGGCCAGCUCUCUAAGUACCCAGGGAUGAAUCCCAUUGAGCCCCGUAGACCCGCACACAUCCGGCAGGCGCAGCGCACCCCACACAGCUUAGGAGCUGGCUGAGGCCCGCUGCGCUCCCUGCAGCCCCCUGCUGUGCGCAACGCGCAUGCGCCGCGGUUCGCGCCUCGUGACCGUCCGUUGGUGGCGGUUACGCCGCGUGGAAGUUUGGCGCCGUUGCUCCCGGCUCCGAGGUCGACUUUCGGAGUUACGUGGGUGGUUCUUUGGGAGCGGGGCUACAGGAGGUGUAAUCUCAGAGUGUGCACGCGUGGAACAUGUUAAAUUAAAGAGAGUGUGAAGUGUAUCACAGCCACUAUGAAGCUGAAGGAGAAAUAGCGUUUAUUUCAUAUUUUAGCAGCAGAGCCACAGUCUAUCUGAAGCACAAAAUACGUGGCUAAAAGGGCGGAUCAGCCACGUCCUAGUGAGGAAAGAAAGGCGUUGUGCAGCUGUAGUGCUGAAACGGCUCUUGUGAUACAGGAGCAUGAGCAGCUUUGGGCAAGCAAAACAAGAGCCCCUCCUUGUUGGUAAAUCCACGUUCAGCCUUUAUUCAGUGCAAAAUAGCACAGAGAUUACAGGUGGCAAAUGAUAUAAUUUUUGUGAAAUAAGCUGCUGUGUCUCUAUGUAGGAAGGAGGAGCCUGGUUUGUGCAGUGUGCCAAUGCAGCACUAGCAUGUUUGGAGAACAUUCUCAGCUUGAGGCAGCAGCUAAACAGCUGUGCUAGAACAGUGCAGUGUAGGUGGAAUUGUUCAAGAGACCAAGUGCAAGUGAUUGUGCUGCAGGUUUCUGUGGCAGACAUAUGGUGCCCUGCAGAAGUAUGGUUGCCAAACUUGGGAUCAUUGGACUUUUUUCCAAGGUGAAAAUAGAGUUCUUAAAGGAGCUGUCUCCUCCUCUAAUGGCUGCUGAGAGAUCAGUAUUCUGCUGUUGUCAGCUGCAGUUCUAUAUGCCUGAGCUGAUGCAGACGCUAAACAAUACUCAAAAAUCUGCUAUAUGCCAGAGAUAAAUUUCAGAUGUAGGGGAAUAUGUAAUUACAUUUAAAAUCUGUCUGUUGUUCCUUGUACGACAUAUAAUAAUACUUCUUUAACUAUUCAAAGAGGUGUAGAUGCUCUUCGCUUCUAUCCGUCUUCAUUUCUUCCCUUCAUUUUGAGUGAUGCAGUAGCAUAAAUGUGCAAGUUACUGUUUUUCAUGGCUGCUUGGACCAUGUCUAAACCACACCCAGUGAGUUGAACUGAGUACUUUAACAUUCACACACUGGUCCUCGCUCACCAGUCCUCAUACCACUAAGCAGUUUGUGCAGGUUUAGUUCUGUCAUUUUCUAAGAAAGAGACCUGAGUGUAUUGUUAGCAACUGUUGCUUGACAAAGAAGUCUCUGAACAUUUCACAACCUUCUAUAAAAGGAGGAGAGAGGAAGUUCCUUAAUUUUUCUAUUGAACUAUGUAAUGUAAGGAAGAUGGUUUUGGAAAGUAUAUUCCUUCCUGAAUAUUUUGUUCUCUUUCACUCUUUUUUUUCUUUUCGCUUCAAGCUGUUAUAAGGAAAGAAACUCCUACUAAGACGGAAGGAGAAGAUAAAGAAAAUCUCUCUUCUACCCUGGAAGCCAGUGUCUCAGCUGUGGAAAAACUAGUUUAAUGGCUCAAAGAAAAAGAGUCUCAGUUGACCUCACCUCUGAAUCUAAAUAAAAAAUAGAUGAUUUUGAUCUUCAGGGAUUGUUUGACAGUUAGCAGGAUAGCAUCUGUGAAGAUGUGCAGGUCUUUUAGGAAUGUGAUUUUAGGCAUUCACUGAAGAUGCAGCACUAAUAUAAAUGAAAAGUGCAGCAGCUAUGUGGCCAGAAGAUUCUCAGAAGAGCCCUCAAAUUUCUACAUGGAAAUUGGGAGAGUCCUUUCAGAGCAUAUUCAAUUUGGGGCUUGUUUUAAGCUGCUGAAAGUCCCAUGAAGACAGCAUAAGCUACUGUACUGAGAAGUAAAGAGGGAAAAGUAAUCAAAAUGUGAAAUCAGUUGUAUAUGAAUAUGUCACUCAGAAAGAGGAUCUUUCCUAUGAAGGAAAAGUAAAUGCACUUAUUGAGGAACACUGUAGCAGUGUGUGGUCAGAGAAUUUUCUAGAAAGAGGCAAAAAUUCUACUGUUUUGCCCUGUGAUGCAGCUAGAUUCCUGCUGUGUGGCUUAGAAAGAAUUUAAGAGGUUUAUGACAUUUUAAAUAUGCCACUGAGCGAUUGCACCUGAAGGGAAGUCACCACAGAAUGCGUGAAGAAAAAAGAAAAUCACUAGUAGACUUAGCAACAGCAAUAAAACUGAAGAGUAUGGAUCAACCAUGAAUUGGUCAUCAGCUUAGUGAGCUACAAUUUAACCUGUCAGUGCAUCUCCAUUAUCUUUUAUCAGGUCCAGUGACUCCCUGGUUCCCUUUCCUCUCUAACCUUUCACUUGAGUAAAACUGGUGUUCCCUGCUUCUCUGAUUGCUGU